AAAAAAAAAAAAAAAAAAAAAGGCAAAAAACAAAAAAAAAAAAAAGAAAAAAUGGAGAUGGGAAACGAGGGCAGUUAAAGGAAAUGACAGAUGUGCGGGGGGGGGGGGCGGGGGGGGGUGUUGCUGGCAAGCCCAUGGGUAGAUAGGUAAGGGAUACAGCUUGGAGGAGCGAGACACCAUCCUCAGGCCUUCCAUCUAGUGGCAUCUCCAUUUUCCUUUUCAAAUCUGUUGAAAGUCAUCACUGAAGAUCCCCUGGGUCACAGGGAAGCAGUCGGGUGAAGACUGGGCUUAAUGUGGACCCAAAUCCCUAGAUAUCCUUGUUCCUCAAUCCCACUUGUUCUAAGGUGGAGACAGUCCCCACCGCAGAUUGCAGGCUCCUCCCAACCCUUCCCUCUCCCUCCCCUGCUCUCCAGGUAGCCUCUAGCAGUCAGUCUGCCGCCGGCUGUGAAGCCAGCACCUCCGCCAGCCCACCACCAGUUCCUUCUCCUGGGCUCCCUCCUGGCCCUCCACCAAGCGGCAACAUCUCCCAGGACAAAGGACACAGGCUCUGCUAUCCAGUUUCACCAGCUUCCAGGUGCUCCAUCUUCUCUCCCCUCAUAUGGACUAGAGGAAGAUGGUGACCAACUGCCUCCAUCCUGAGAUAAAGGCCCUGGGCAGACUUGCAGAAGCUAAUACAGUCCCCCUCAGUUUUCUUUCUACUCACACAUCAGUCCCGGCUCCAUUCAGCAUCCACAAUUUCAACAAUCAAAGAUACUGAAAUGUUCCAGUUCUCUGCUAGAUCCAGUCACACUCAUAUCAUCCCUGGUUCCUUCCAGAGCCUUCCCCAUGACCCCAGUAGUUUUCAGAACCCAUGACUUUAAUCAGGAUCUGAGACAGACAGAACAGAUUGGUCACGGGUACCUGCACUUUUACACUACAUACAAAGCCCAGUCUUUGCAGGUGGCUCCUGCACCUUCUCCCUGGUUCUCAGGUUCUUCUUAGGACACCUCCACCUGGUGCCUGAGUCAGCACCCCAUAAGGUCCAGAGUUGCUGGGACACGUCCCUGCCUGCCCCCAGACCUCCCCCU